AAAGGAAGGUGGGGAUUGAUUUUGGGGGUUAUGGUACCAACUGUUAAGGAAUUAGGGGCCAAAAAGGGGCCAAAAAUAAGCAUUUUUGUAACUUCCAGACAUAACUUGUGUGUUAGUGUAUGGAUCUCUCUGACAUUGUACCACAAGGUUCCAUAUCACAAAGGGAAUGCUGGGAUUGAUUUUGGGGGUAAUUGCCUCCAAAUUUUAGGAAUUAGGGGCCAAAAAGGGGCAAAAAACAAGCAGUUUUCUAGUUUCAUGACAACAACUUGUGUGUAUGUGUAUGGAUCUUUUUGAAAUUGUACUACAAGGUUCCAUAUCACAAAGGGAAGGCUGGGAUUGAGUUUGGGGGUAAUUGCCCAAAACGUUUAGGAAUUAGGGGCCAAAAAUAAGCAUUUUUCUAGUUUCCAGACAAUAACUUGUGUUCAAGUGUAUGGAUCUCUCUGAAAUUGUACUGCAAGGUACCAUACCACAAAGGGAAGGCUGGGAUUAAUUUUGGGGGUAAUUGCCUCAAAAUUUUAGGAAUUAGGGGCCAUAAAGGGGCAAAAAACCAAGCAUUUUUCUAGUUUCAGAACAAUAACUUGUGUGUAAGUGUAUGGAUCUUUAUGAAAUUGUACUACAAGGUUCCAUAUCACAAAGGGAAAGCUGGGUUUGAGUUUGGGGGUAAUUGCCCUAAACGUUUAGGAAUUUGGGGCCAAAAAUGUGCCAAAAAACAAGCAUUUUUCUAGUUUCCAGACAAUAACUUGUGUUCAAGUGUAUGGAUCUCUCUGAAAUUGUACUGCAAGGUACCAUACCACAAAGGGAAGGCUAGGAUU